GGGGAAGGGAGUUUCUGGUUUUGCAUGGAGAAGCAGAACAUGAUGAAGCAUUUUUCCCCUGUUUAAAGAUCCAGCCAUGCUCCACUUUGCAGGGGGCAGAAGGGCAGGUGUGCAGUUGGUGCUGGGAGGAUGGAGAAUGUAAGCUUCAUAAAAUCAAGGACUUUUGCCUGUCUUAUUCAGUGGUGCUUUCCUCAGCCCUUGGAACAGUGGUUGGCAUACAGCAGAGCUUAACAAAUAGUCGAAUGGCUGAGCAAGUCCUCUUUGAGAAGCUGACCUGUUCCCGGCUGGGGUCUACACCGGGGAUACACACAGCCACGAAGAAGACAGGGAUCCCAGCUCCCCUGGUCACCAACAAGUAAGGAGCCCAUUUCAUGAAGGUGGAUAGAGGGGUAAAUUGAGGAGCCAUGGGAGCCACAAACUGGGGCUUCUGACCCAGCGCAUCAGGUUGGGGAGCCUGGGAAUCAGCAGUAGGGGAAGAAAAGAGGAUUUGAAUUACCAUAUCAGUCUGGAAAAUACAGCCCAGUUUGGAGGUUCCAUAGGACCAAUUUGAAAAGUUAAUCAGGACAUGGGAUGGAGAACGCGAGGCCCGAGGGGGCCUGAUGAGGUGAGUGGGGAGCCCAGCCACCGCCCCCCUCCCCUGCCCUGGGGAUGCCUGGAAGGAUGCAGGCAAGAGAGCCGCAGUCGCCUGGCUCUGGGCAUCAUGCCCGGGCCCUGCAGAGCGGGGAGGAGUGGGGCGAGGAGUCAGUCCUGCCCCAGUGCCAGGCGGGAGGCGCCUCUGCAGUCCCUGCAGGGAGAAGAUUUACAGCCUCCAGGAGCUGGGAGGUUACAGAGAAAAAGUGGUGCCGCACUUCCAAAGGAUACUGCCUGCAGCACCCGAGGUGGGCUGGCUUCUGGGUGGGCCCGGCUCCUCCAGGCUAAAAAAAGCCCUCCAAGGGGCAGCUGUGGGGGCGGGUGAGGGGCAGGGGUCAGAGGGAGCUGUUGAGAUCAGAAACACCCCCUCUUCUCCCAACACAGGCACAGAGCCGGUUCUGGGACCCAGGCCCUGGGGAGGGCUUGUUACUGCACUGUGUUAUCCAUGAGCUUGGGCUGCUCAGGGCUUGCCUAGCAGCCCCCCCGGGGGGUCUGAUGUCACCAGUAAAGAUGGCCAUGAUCCACUGAGCAUGUCUCCUUUGCAGGCCCGUGUACUGCAGCCUUCAGCACCCCCAGUGACCCCCUCCCAGGGCAGAGUCCUGUUAUUCCCCCUUACUUCACAGUAGCUCAGGGAGGCCAUGGGGUCAGUGGUGGCAGAUUUGAGCCUUAUAUGCCUAAAUGAGUGCCCGAGUCCCUGCCUUCCACCAGAGCCACUUUCUCCCUGUGCGACUUGGGUUGGUUACUCAGCCUCUCUGAGCUACCAUUUCUCGGCCAUCAGCAUUGUCUGGGGCCACUUGCCUUGUUUCAACUCCUUCCCUUGCUGUGUUUCAAUCUUAGCCUCCCCACUGGAUGUCAGCACCACCGCUAUGAUGAGCACAGCACCGGGGCCCAGCCCCAGGCCUGUGAUGAGCACAGCACCAGGGCCCGCCCCAGGCCUGUGGGGGCCUGUAGGCCACCCCUACCGCCCAUGUGUCUGCUGGGCCCAGGUUGGACCCAGACUGCCCUGGCCUCUGGUUCCCACCCUCACCCUACCAAGAUCAGCAGCAGCAAGAGGUUUGCUAGGCAGACCCCCAAGGAGUGUUUCCAGGGAGGCCUCCUCACGUUCUCUCACUCAGUAGGCAAGCCUGGGUUCUCUAGAAGGAUCUGCAAGGUGCCAGGGGGACUGGAGAACCAAAUGGACAUGGCGCUUGUACCCAGACGAGUGCCCGUCCCGAGGGUAAGAUGGACGUCCACACACAGGGAGCAAUGCUGAGAACGAGGUCCCCUAAGCGUGUCCAACAACGGAGCCCUGCUCAGACUCGAGGCUCAGAGUGGAGGCCCUGGGGACCCCCGGAGGACAGGCCUGGAGCACAGGAACACGCUCGAGCCAACCCAUCACCCGGGGCCUCUUGUCACCCUGUGAGCAGGUCCCUCCUCUUUACUGCUGUGUGACCCUGUUAGUCCCCUGCCCUCUCUGAGCCUCAGUUUCCCCUCUCUAAAAUGGGGGAAAAUCAUGGCACCCACUCUGUAGGGUUGUUGAGGGCAUCAGAAGAGGCAAUGUUUGCAAAGAGCUGAGCUUGGUGCCGGGCACACGUGGAGCCUCAGUGGCUGGUAGACAUUAAAGGCGCAGAGCGGCAGGGGAGCCCAGUGGAGCAGCGGGGGAGCAACGUUCCUGGAAGAGACACAAAUGAGCUGAGUAUAGGGACUUAGGAGGUGUUAUCAAGGAGCAGGACGGGCCGAGGACCGAGGGACCAGCUCAGGUGGAAGGGCACGAGGGGUUCCACAG